rnacentral:rRNA from 1 species
UGGAUGACAGGGACGUAACGGUCCCCUUACUUCGGUACAUCCAAGACAGGUGGUGCAUGGUUGUCGUCAGCUCGUGUCGUGAGAUGUUGGGUUAAGUCCCGCAACGAGCGCAACCCUUAUCUUCAGUAGCCAGCAGGUAAAGCCGGGCACUCUGGAGAGACUGCCGGGGAUAACCCGGAGGAAGGUGGGGAUGACGUCAAAUCAUCAUGCCCCUUAUGAUUUGGGCUACACACGUGCUACAAUGGCGUAAACAGAGGGAAGCGAGCCCGCGAGGGGGAGCAAAUCCCAAAAAUAACGUCCCAGUUCGGAUUGUAGUCUGCAACCCGACUACAUGAAGCUGGAAUCGCUAGUAAUCGCGGAUCAGAAUGCCGCGGUGAAUACGUUCCCGGGUCUUGUACACACCGCCCGUCACACCAUGGGAGUCGGAAAUGCCCGAAGUCUGUGACCUAACCGCAAGGGAGGAGCAGCCGAAGGCAGGUCGGAUGACUGGGGUGAAGUCGUAACAAGGUAGCCGUAUCGGAAG